UCGCCUGUUUAUCAAAAACAUCGCUUACUGUGUAAGUAUAGCCUGCUCAGUGAAAAAUUUAAACAGCCAGCAUAUGCUAAGGUAGCAUAAUAAUUUGCUUUAUAAAUGAAAGAUAGAAUGAAAGGUUUUUCUAAAAAUAAUUAUUUUUUGGUAUUAUUGAAUUUUUUUGUGAAUGAAAAUUUUUACAUGAUUUUUUUAGACGAUAAGACCCUAUGAAGCUUUACUAGGAAUCUAGUUUUUUUGGGGCAAAAUUAAAUAUUAUUAUUUAUGUUAAGCAAUAUAAUGAUCUUUAGGAAUUAAAAGAAAAAGCUACUCUAGGGAUAACAGCAUAAUUUUUAUAAAAGUUCUUAUUAAAAUAAAAGUUUGUGACCUCGAUGUUG
rnacentral:rRNA from 1 species